rnacentral:sRNA from 1 species
UUUUUUUUGGCUAAUUUUUUUUAGGGAAAAAAACUAGAUUAACCAAAAUAAUAAGAUUAAUUAUUAGAAUAACUUAUAAAAUAUUAGAGUUAAAUUGAUUCUUUUCUUUUCUAAAAUAUCAUUUUCUUAUAUGUUAAAAAUAAAACAAAUACAAAAAUAUCUUUUAAAAAAAAUUCCAACAAUUUUACAAAAGUCUAUCGUUUAGUUAUGGGCAGAUUUAUUCUUAUUCCGUAGACUUUUUUAACUGCGAUAGUUUUUUUAUAGCAGACUUUUUUGGUUGACAGACUUCUUAGAAGAUAGUGAUAACAGAUUUAUAAAUUAUAGCAGAUUUAAUUUGAUUGACAGAUUUUUAGUUUAUUCAACCACAGACUUUCAUAUAAUUUGACAGACUUAUUUUUUUGUGGAUGUUUUUUUACGUUAAGUGAUGGCAGAUUUAUAAUUUUGUUAAAAAAAUCUGUCACAUUGUAACAGAUUUGUUGUCAAA